GAAAGGGUGUGACUGCCCUGUAGGCCAUUUAUGCCAGUGUUCUUCCUGGAGAGUUGAUGAGGGGGUACAUGACCCAGUUUCCCACCUUCCCAAGCUGGCUGGGGAAGCACUCGUCUACAGGCAAACAUGAUCGUAUUGUUCAGGACCUGGCCUUGCAUAUGAGUCUCAGAACUUACUCCAGCAAAAGGACUGUAAACAUGGAUUAUCUGUCGCUUCUAAGGGAUGCACUUGUACAGCCCUUGACCUCACAAGGAGUAGACGGAGUACAGGAUGUUGUUGCACUUAUGGACACAUAUUAUUUGAUGAAAGAAGACUUUGAGAAUAUCAUGGAAAUCAGCAGCUGGGGUGGCAAACCUAGUCCCUUUUCAAAGCUGGAUCCCAAGGUGAAAGCAGCCUUCACAAGAGCUUACAAUAAGGAAGCCCACCUUACUCCAUACUCACUUCAAGCUAUAAAGGCAUCUAGACACAGCACAAGCCCAUCCCUGGAUUCGGAAUACAAUGAAGAAUUAAAUGAAGAUGACUCUCAAUCUGAUGAGAAAGACCAGGAUGCUAUAGAAACUGAUGCCAUGAUCAAGAAAAAGACAAAAUCUUCAAAGCCUUCAAAACCAGAAAAAGAUAAGGAGCCCAGAAAAGGAAAAGGAAAAAGUUCGAAGAAAUGAAACCAUUUUUCACUAGCGACAGCCACUUUUUACUUUCCCUCCUGACCAGUCCAGCUGGUCUAGA
rnacentral:sRNA from 1 species